rnacentral:rRNA from 1 species
CACACCGCCCGUCGCCUACUACCGAUUGAAUGGUCUAGGGGGCGCGCCACCCGACUGGCCGCCCCUUGGAGCCGCUACCGCCGCCUCGGCCGCAGCCCCCUCGGGCGGCCGGAAAGGGGUCCAAGCUGGGGUCAUUUAGAGGGAAGUAAAAGUCGUAACAAGGUUUCCGUAGGUGAACCUGCGGAAGGAUCAU